rnacentral:rRNA from 1 species
GAUGAACGCUGGCGGCGUGCCUAAUACAUGCAAGUCGAGCGAACGGACGAGAAGCUUGCUUCUCUGAUGUUAGCGGCGGACGGGUGAGUAACACGUGGAUAACCUACCUAUAAGACUGGGAUAACUUCGGGAAACCGUAGCUAAUACCGGAUAAUAUUUUGAACCGCAUGGUUCAAAAGUGAAAGACGGUCUUGCUGUCACUUAUAGAUGGAUCCGCGCUGCAUUAGCUAGGUGGUAAGGUAACGGCUUACCAAGGCAACGAUGCAUAGCCGACCUGAGAGGGUGAUCGGCCACACUGGAACUGAGACACGGUCCAGACUCCUACGGGAGGCAGCAGUAGGGAAUCUUCCGCAAUGGGCGAAAGCCUGACGGAGCAACGCCGCGUGAGUGAUGAAGGUCUUCGGAUCGUAAAACUCUGUUAUUAGGGAAGAACAUAUGUGUAAGUAACUGUGCACAUCUUGACGGUACCUAAUCAGAAAGCCACGGCUAACUACGUG